CCUCACAACUUAGCAAGAUCUUGCCUCAAAAUAAAAUAAAAAUAAAAAGGGCUGGGAUAUGGCUCACUGGUAGGGCAGCACUGGGUUUCAUCACCACGACCAAAAAUCCAAAAACAAAGACAAAAACAACAAGCCGGGCCCUGAACAGGCUUGUGCUCCAGAGGCGUCCGCUCCCCAGCAGCCACAAGGCGACCACAGGGCUCAGAGCCUGGGGAGGAGCUGCCUCCAUCCACCACCUCGGGGAGCCCAGCCACAGCACCUUCCCAGCAUGCGCGUGGUGAGGCAAGCACUCCCCACAGUGACCCCCGGGACACCAGCCAGGGCUGCUGUGUCCAGAGACACCCCCCCUGCUCCCAACAUCUGCCCUGAGUCCCUCUUGCUGCCCCUCACAGUCCUCCAGCCCAGGCUGCCCCUGCGCUGUCCCCACAGGCCUGGUCAUUCCUCAUAGGUGCUGCUGUCUCCAUGGACUUGGCCUUUUAGUGCCCAUGGGCCCCUGCUGCCCCCCCCCCGAGGCACCACCUCUUGAAGUUGUUUUGGGAUGGUCACCAGCCUCACUCACUGUCCCUGUGGCUGAGAGCACCUGGCUGUGCCCGACAUGGUCAGCCUUGGCUUUACAGUUCAUCGCCCAUCCCAUGGGCUGAAUGCCAUGGUGGCCAUGGGUGCUGACACCGUGAGCCUGUGUCUCUCCCUCCAUCUCUCACUUCAAAACUGAGAGUCGGGAAUCAUCUCCAGGAGGCAGAACACUGGCCCGACUGGGAGGCGAAGAGUUCCGCUGCAUCCAGCAGCUCAUUUCAGAGUGGACAGAGGAGAGCCACCUGGGCAGUGGCUUCCAACCGUCUUCUGGUCUGCACGGCCAGGCACACAUCCCCACGCGAGCAGGUCCGGUAGCCGGCUCCUGUUUCUGUGGCACACAAAGCGACAUCCCUGCUUGGGGUCUCAAUUCCCAGCUGACACUGAGGUGUUUGCUGAGACUGGGGUCAUGGGAAGCGGCGGGGCCCUGCUGGCAGAGUUCAGUGCCUGGCUCUCAGGACGGAGGUCCCACUUUCCUGCUCUCUGCCAGGUGAGAACUGCUCUCAGCAUUUGCAUCCGUCCUGUUUCCAGCCAGGAGAGCAUCAAUUCCCAGGUGGUGCUUCCUUCCUCAAGACAACUUCUUGGGACGUUAAUCACAUCACAAGGCACAGUCACAGACACAAAAUGCCUCCCAGCCCCAGGCCCCCCACAGGCGAGAGGCCUGCCUGCACACCAGGGACAGAAUUCUUGAAGACCAUUUUAGAAGUCACCACCACAGUAUCCAAAGCCUUGGAGAACCCACACUGAAGGACCUGCUGCUUCGGCACCUGGGUGAGUCCAGGGUGUGGUCAGCUUCCAAUGGCUAGGGAGUGUUGGAAACCGACAGGCCUGUGGGCCCGGCGGGGCUGAUGAGGAAACUGCCCAGAGGCUGCUCCCGGCACUCCCAUGUCCACCGCAACAAGCGUCUCCUUCCUGACAAGCAGCUGCUUUGUGGCUGGGCUGUGGGGUCACUGGUUCCUCCCCUCUGCCUCCUGGGAGUGGACCUCAAUUCCAGGGCAUGCUGGGCCUCCAGGGGAGGUUGAAGGGCUGGACACCACCGGGCCCCUCAGCCUAGCUACAGCUGUGCUCCACUACACCUGGUCAGCACAGGCACGUGCAGGGGUGAGCCAACGGUGGGCCCAGGCCGCAGCACUUGCUCUUUCAGGGCGGACACAUCCUUUAGUGAACGGUUCAUGAGACCAAACGUGGACACCUGCAGGCUGGUGGCCCCUGAUCAGGCAGUCUUUCCCUGACAGGGCUCCCACCUUGCCUCCCUUCGGAGCCCAUGCCUCACACAUGCCUGCCCCCGUGGGCACUCCGCCCCUCUCCUGGUGGUUGAAGGGGGACGAGCGCGGCCUGUCUCCGGGAGCCACUCUCCUGUCAAGGUGUUCCUCUGGGUGGCGUGGCCAUGUGGGGGAAGCAGCGGCCAGGAGGUUAGAAGUGAGACUCAGAUGCCAGCGCACCCCAGCCCAGCCUGCUCUCUAGGCUGAGACCGCUGAAGCCAUGAGCCCCCACGUAGACUUCCUCCUCUAAAGUCGUCCGUCAGUCUUCUAGUCACAGCAGCAGAGCAAGCCGACAAGAGCGCUGGCCGACGGGCUCCCCAGCCAAGGGGCUGCCGGAACCACGCUGCAGGCCAGUCCUCGGGAGGGAGCCCUGGCUGUGGAGGGCGGGCAGGGAGCCUGCAGAGAGCUCAGGACAUGAAGCUGGGCUUGGAGGUCAGGGUCAAGGGUGCUGCGGGGGGAGGCACCGAGGCCGCAGGGCAGGAGCUGGGAGCGCCUGACAGUGAGGACUGUGGCUGAGGGUCAGACGAGAGCCAUCUGGAGGCAGCGGGUGACAAGGGGGAAGAGCAGAAGCCAGUGUGCAAGGGAGUGUCCAGGGGGACCCACAGCAGGAAGGUGAAGGGGGACGUGAUGACUGGAGGGGACUGGGUCUGUCCAGUUUCAGAGUUAGGGAGGGGAGGCGUGGUGAAAGGGACACGGCGAGGGGCAGACCCAGCCCCAGAGGGGUCCUGGAGUCCUGGACACAGGCGCACUAACAGCACUGCGCUCCAGGGCAUGUGCAGCUGUGAGGGAUUUCACCCGACUCCUGAAGGGGCUGAGCCACAGGAGGCCUCUCAAAAAAAGGUAAGUUGCCAGGGUAAACUGUGGGUCCCUGGGAGUCCAGACCCGCUGCUGGGGUCCGAUCUCCUCACACUCGGGGCAGCUCUGGACACAGGUGCUCUGCCACGGAGACCUGCUGACCCCACCUCUCCUAGGGCCUCUGAAGGCCACAGGAUGAACCAUUGACUCUGUGAGUCCAGCAACGACGCCUCACAUGGCCACCAGUGCACCAGGCCCUGUGGGCAAGGGGAUGGCACAGUCACGCCUGUGGUCGGACAGUGAACACAGCCUCUCCACAGAGUGCGGCCAUGUCGCAGGACGUCCUGGGAGUCCCAACUCCCCAGGACGACAUGGCCCUUGUGCAGCGCUGACACCUACCCAGGAAGGGUCCUUGGCCCAAGUUCUUGGCUCCCUCCUGCCCCUUCCCCUCACUCUGGGUGGACUGGCGAGGUUUCCCUUCACUCCUGACCUCCCUCGGCCGAGCGUUCUUUUCACCUAAAGAUUAAAAGAGGCACACACUGAACACUGACCCUGGGCAACGCCCUGGCGUGCACAGGUCCAGGGAGGGCAGGCCGCCCUCCAGGGAGUGCCCCAGGCCCCCUGCCCCAUCAUCCUCUGAGCUGCCAGGGCCAAGUGCCAGGAAACCCAGAUCCCAGAAGAUGCAGCAGUUCCACACUCAACCCAGAUCUCUCCCUAUUCCCCAGUGAUCUGAGCAACUCGUGUUAACAGCAAUGCUUCAGGACAAAGGAGACAGUGACUUCAUUUCUUUUUGCUUAGGAUUUUCUUGAAUUUUAUUAUCAAAUCUCUACUAUAGAAACACUAAACAAAAGGGGAACAUGAGGGUAAAACAUCACUAGAGACGCAGAGCACAGUGGUUGGGACACGGCCUCUGGAGCCAACCUCAGCUCUCCUCCUUACUAGCUCUGGUCCUCUGCUGGGUUCCCCGACAUUUCUGCCUCAGUUCCCCAACUGGAAAACUGGGGUAAUGGUAGUACCUAGUUAACGGGAUUAAACAAUUUAAUAUCUGAAAAACAUUUAAAACAAAACGGCAAAUGAUAAGUGCUCUAUGUAUCUGAAGAACAAAACGAAAACAUCUUAAAUUAAGUGGGUUAAUUUCUCCAUGGGCCUCACAGGUCCUUAUCCAUAGACACAUUUUUUAGAUCUGUUAUAGUAGAUAUCACACACAAUUCUAUGUUCUUUUAAUUCCUUUGUGCUAUGUAUAUUGAAGCCAUGUCCAAAGUUAUAAUUUAUAGUGAUUGCCUAAAACAAAUUACAAAUACCACCCAAGGAGGGAGUCAUGAGCAGAGACAGGCAGCGGACCCUGGCCCCAGGUGGUGAGUGUCACCUUGGGCCCACACCAGCCUCACCCUUCCAGGCUGCACCCUUUCUGCCCUCAGUGAUCUCACGCACUCAUCUUGUCUAAGGAGUUCAUCUUGAGCAACAGCAAACACCCCACUCAAAACUAUACUAUUUCCCAUAUUCUACCCCUUAAAGGGCACUAAACCCUGCCCUUAUAAAAGCAAAAUCUAUCUGCAUUUCUGUAAUUCUGCAUAAAAUGGUGUUAUAGAGAUUUCCACCCAACAUCUCAGCUCCAUGAGAAGUACAUUCCAGUCCAACCCGCUCUGCACGAGCCCCCCCGACAGAGCACACGAUCACAGAGGUGGGAGCACCUGCUGAAGGGUGCCCCCCACCAGAUCCUCAAGCACAGGCUCCUGGUGGGCUGCGUCCGGAGUCCAGAGCUUCCUUCUCUGUGUUGAUAUGAGGCUGAAAGGGCUGAAGACUACAGAAACCCUUUCCCUAAUUUUCUCAUUCAUACCAUUACUUCUAAGAUAUUCCCUACUGAAUGAGAAAGGGGGAAGUCUUAUUGAAUUCUUAAUGAGAAGCUUUCCCUUUUGAUUUUAUUUAUAGGGUUUUCUCCCAUAGGUUAUCAAAUGUACAAGAAAUGAAAACCCUCUGAUCAACUCAAGGACGUUUCUCCUCGCUGUGACUCCUCUGGUGCUGAAGCAGGGCCGAGUGGCCGCUGAAGGCUCUUCCACACUGGCUGCAUAUGAAGCGCUUCUCUCCACUGUGCAUUCUCUGGUGGAUAAUAAGGGAGGAAUUCUUACAGAAAGCUUUCUCACAGUGGUUACACUUGUAGGGCUUCUCUCCAGUGUGGUUUCUCAGGUGCACAAUAAGGGAAGAGCUCUCAUUGAAUGCUUUCCCACAUUCAUUACAUCUGUAUGGUUUCUCUCCAGUGUGAGUUCUCCGGUGUGCAAUAAGGUGAGAGCUACAGUUAAAGGACCUUUCACACUGAUUACAUUUAUAGGGUUUCUCACCAGUGUGAAUUCUCCGAUGAGCCACUAAGUGACAGCUCUGACUGAAGGACUUCCCACAUUUAUUGCACUCAUAGGGUUUUUCUCCAGUGUGAGUCCUUUGAUGCCUAACAAGGUGAGCCAUUUGGCUGCAGGAUUUCCCACAUUUGUUACAUUCAUAGGGCUUAAUUCCAGAAUGAAUGAUUUCAUGCUUAGUGAGGGCUGAGCGUUCUCUGAAUGCUUUGCCACAUUCCUGGCAGUUAUAGGGUUUCUCCCCUGUGUGAGUUCUCUGGUGGGCAAUGAGAUGGGAGCUCCAGCUGAAGGAUUUUCCACACUCAGUGCAUUUAUAUGGUUUUGCUCCAGAGUGAGUUCGUUCGUGUUUACUAAGGGCUGAGUAAUCCCUAAAAGCCUUCUCACACUCGUCACAUUUAAAGGGCUUCUCUCCAGUAUGCAUUCUCAUGUGGGCAAUGAGGUGGGAGCUCCAGCUGAAAGACUUCCCACACUCUGUACACUCAAAAGGCUUCUCUCCAGUAUGAGUCCUCUGGUGUCCAAUAAGAUGGGAGUUCCAGUUGAAAGAUUUCCCACACUCAUUACAUACAUAAGGUUUUUCUCCUGUGUGUAUCCUCUUGUGUACAACAAGAUGAGAAUUCCAGCUAAAGGCUUUUCCACACUUGUUACAUUCAUAGGGUUUUAUUCCAGUGUGAGUCCGCUCGUGUUUAGUAAGGGCGGAACGAUUCCUAAAAGCUUUUCCACACUUGUCACAUUCAUAGGGCUUCUCUCCAGCAUGACUCUUCUUAUGCUGAAUCAGGUACGAGCUCCAGAUGAAGGACGUGCCACACUCACUGUACUCAAAGGGCUUCUCUGCAUUGUAAGAGCUUGUGUGUUGAGUGAGGAACGAGUCAUACCCAAAGACUUUCUCCCACUCAUUGUAUUUACAUGCUUUCUCUACAGCACCAAGUUUCUGAUGUUCCAUAAAGGAUGAGAAGUAAAAGAUAUUCUCAUAUUCUUUGUAAUCAUACUGGUUUUCUCCCAUAUGGAGUCUUGGAUGUUCAUUAAAGGAUGGGCUCUGGUUAAA